GGGGGCGCCGGCCACCCGCCAUAAAGUGAAUGGCCAGCGUGAAUGGGAGGCAGUCGAUCGGCGCCCUCCGCCCUCUCCGUGAGCCUCGGGCCGGCAGUGAGGCGCAGAGUGCCGGGGGGAUUUACUUUCUGACAGCUGCAGCGCAGGCCGGGUCGCGGGGCGGGGGCCAGCUUCGUCCCUCUCGCAGGAUUAAGGCUGCCCAGCCAAGCCCGCAUCUGGAGCCGCUGAACUUCUCUGUGGAGCCAUGCAUAGAAAGAGAAGAGAGUGGAAACAGCCUGGACACACUCCUCAGAGAGGCAGUCUUUGCUGCUGGCUGCAGGCAGGAAGCCCAGCAGCAAGGGCCCAGGCUGCUACAGUUAGCUUGGCAUGUACUACCAGCAAUGCUCUUGCAGCCCACAGCAUGUGCAGGGCAGUGCCAGCCAAAACAGGCAACUUGCUCUGACAGCAUUGUCACAGUGACCAAGGGAGCUUUGGCAGUUCCUGUUGAUUGGAGGCAAAGCCCCCAAACCAUGUUCCAGGCUUCAAAACAACAAGCAUCAUCACAAAACCUCCCAGUGAUGGAGCUCAGGGGUUAGUGCCCAACUUGCAAGGACUACAUUGAGAAAUAAAGUUCAUUAUAACCUGUGACUCAACUCUUGCUGGAGGUCUGAGUAUGCACCCGAAAGUGCUGCUUAGCCAGCCUGGGGCUGUGCACAGCCUGAAAUUUUUAAAGGCAGGCAGCUUGCUCUCCUGUCCUGUAAUGGCUGUGUGCUCUGGGUCACUGGUUGGCUGCUGCUGUUUAUCUUCCAGUGAUUAAUGGUUGCUCUUGGUUCCUGCUGCAAUUCCAUUAAGAUUAGAGACUUAAAGCUGUACUGAGAUGUUUAGCAGUGGAUGACCCUGGUCUCCCCAUAAUUGUACUUCUGUAGUCUUGAGAAAACAAAGAUUAACUCUU